rnacentral:rRNA from 1 species
AGUGAACGCUGGCGGUAGGCCUAACACAUGCAAGUCGAACGGCAGCACAGGAGAGCUUGCUCUCUGGGUGGCGAGUGGCGGACGGGUGAGGAAUACAUCGGAAUCUACUCUGUCGUGGGGGAUAACGUAGGGAAACUUACGCUAAUACCGCAUACGACCUACGGGUGAAAGCAGGGGAUCUUCGGACCUUGCGCGAUUGAAUGAGCCGAUGUCGGAUUAGCUAGUUGGCGGGGUAAAGGCCCACCAAGGCGACGAUCCGUAGCUGGUCUGAGAGGAUGAGCAGCCACAGUGGAACUGAGACACGGUCCAGAGUCCUACGGGAGGCAGCAGUGGGGAAUAUUGGACAAUGGGCGCAAGCCUGAUUCAGCCAUACCGCGUGGGUGAAGAAGGCCUUCGGGUUGUAAAGCCCUUUUGUUGGGAAAGAAAUCCAGCUGGCUAAUACCCGGUUGGGAUGACGGUACCCAAAGAAUAAGCACCGGCUAACUUCGUGCCAGCCGCCGCAGUAA